rnacentral:rRNA from 1 species
UACGAAGGGGGCUAGCGUUGCUCGGAAUGACUGGGCGUAAAGGGCGCGUAGGCGGAGUGUUUUGUCGGGCGUGAAAUUCCAGGGCUCAACCUUGGGGCUGCGUUCGAGACGGGCAUUCUGGAGUGGGGAAGAGGGUCGUGGAAUUCCCAGUGUAGAGGUGAAAUUCGUAGAUAUUAGGAAGAACACCAGUGGCGAAGGCGGCAUCCUGGACCGGCAUUGACGCUGAUGAGCGAAAGCCAGGGGAGCAAACGGG